GCAAGCACCACAGAUGGGAAGUGCCGUGGGCCGACAAAAAGAAGGGGGAGUGAGAAGGAGGAGGGUUCGGACCGGCCCACCAAUCAGAAAGAGUCUCGGCGCCGCGCGCCACAGGCCCCGCCCCUUGGCGUCGCUGUGGAAACCGAGGGAAGCGACGGUUACUGCAAAGCGAGGGGCGGGAACAAGAAGUUGAGUGACAGGGAGGGCAGCAUCCACAUGGCGGCUGGCGCUACGGGGUGAAUCCCCCGGUGGGCGAUCCCGGGGGUACCCCAGAAGAGCCAACCCCACCCCAGCCCUGAGCCUGCAGUGGCUGUUGAGCCAUGCCGAUCUCACAGGCAGAUCUCAAAGGUGUGUCACUGGCACCCAUGAAGCCAAGUGCUUACCUAGGUGUUCAGGAAGCCAAGAACGCGUUCUCCCAGGAGACCUUCAGCAAGGGGCAUGCCCUCUCGGGACCUCAGUUUCCCCUCCUGUUGGGAGGCUUCAGUGAGUGCCUGAAACACACACCGAGU